UCUGCUGCAGCAGCACGUACGCAGCUAAAUUAUAAUGCUUGGCCUGGUCAGCGGCACCCAGAGGUCCCAAAUAUGCCUGUAAUCCCACAGCGUGACACUCAGUAAGACAGAGAUAGCUCCCUUGAUUUCCUGAGUGAAAUUAAAAUAGAGCUAGUUCCUGGUAAAGUCCGAGGAUUCAAGCGGAGCGCAGCCGCCAUCCUUCUACAUUCAAUUAAAAGACGAAUCUUAAAACUCUUCAUGCUUAAGAACCCUUUUUGUCAUAGCCCGCCGGCAAACGCAGCAGACACACAUUGAUCCACUUUCGUGAGACAAUUUUAAGAAGACACACUGUACCGAACACAAAUGAUCACUGAAUCUGCUCUGACGUUUGUUCUCACCUUUGGCUGUGAGAACCAUCUGAGCAUAUAUUGCAGUGGGGAUGAUGGGCUGUGGAAGAUCCUGCAGGUACCUACGCAGACCAUCACAUAGAACCGAAAGUUCAAACUGAUCCAGGUCUGCUGAGGGGGGAUCUGAAAUGCAAUACAACAAGCAGACAGAGUUGAAUACUAUAAUUCAUUCUUGCACAGUUAAAUCUUUAAAUACAAUCUGAGGUAUAAUCUCAAAAGUUAUAUAAUGCAAAAUGUAAACAUGAGCA